rnacentral:rRNA from 1 species
GCAUAUCAAUAAGCGGAGGAAAAGAAACCAACAGGGAUUGCCCUAGUAACGGCGAGUGAAGCGGCAACAGCUCAAAUUUGAAAUCUGGCCUUUCAGGUCCGAGUUGUAAUUUGUAGAGGAUGCUUCGGCGUUGGACCCGACCUAAGUUCCUUGGAACAGGACGUCACAGAGGGUGAGAAUCCCGUACGUGGCCGGUGUCCCUCGCCAUGUGAAGCUCCUUCGACGAGUCGAGUUGUUUGGGAAUGCAGCUCUAAAUGGGAGGUAAAUUUCUUCUAAAGCUAAAUACUGGCCAGAGACCGAUAGCGCACAAGUAGAGUGAUCGAAAGAUGAAAAGCACUUUGGAAAGAGAGUUAAAAAGUACGUGAAAUUGUUGAAAGGGAAGCGCUUGCAAUCAGACCUGCCCGCGGUCGCUCAUCCAGGCUUCUGCCUGGUGCACUCUUCCGCGGUCAGGCCAGCAUCGGUUCGGGCGGUCGGACAAAGACGGCGGGAAUGUGGCUCCCCUCGGGGAGUGUUAUAGCCCGCCGUGUAAUGCGGCCAGUCCGGACCGAGGUCCGCGCUUCGGCUAGGAUGCUGGCGUAAUGGUUGUAAGCGGCCCGUCUUGAAACACGGACCAAGGAGUCUAACAUCUGUGCGAGUGUUUGGGUGUCAAGCCCGGACGCGUAAUGAAAGUGAACGGAGGCGGGAACCUUAGGGUGCACCGUCGACCGAUCCUGAUGUCUUCGGAUGGAUUUGAGUAAGAGCAUAGCUGUUGGGACCCGAAAGAUGGUGAACUAUGCCUGAAUAGGGUGAAGCCAGAGGAAACUCUGGUGGAGGCUCGCAGCGGUUCUGACGUGCAAAUCGAUCGUCAAAUUUGGGCAUAGGGGCGAAAGACUAAUCGAACUAUCUAGUAGCUGGUUCCUGCCGAAGUUUCCCUCAGGAUAGCAGUAACGUUUUCAGUUUUAUGAGGUAAAGCGAAUGAUUAGAGGCCUGGGGGUUGAAACAACCUUCACCUAUUCUCAAACUUUAAAUAUGUAAGAAGUCCUUGUUACUUAG